rnacentral:rRNA from 1 species
UACGUAGGGUGCGAGCGUUAAUCGGAAUUACUGGGCGUAAAGCGUGCGCAGGCGGUUUUGUAAGCCAGAUGUGAAAGCCCCGGGCUCAACCUGGGAAUGGCAAUGGAAACUGGCGGGCUGGAGUAUGGCAGAGGGGGGUGGAAUUCCGCGUGUAGCGGUGAAAUGCGUAGAUAUCAGGAGGAACACCGGUGGCGAAGGCGGCCCUCUGGACGGAUACUGACGCUGAGACGCGACAGCGUGGGGAGCAAACAGG